AUGAACGCUAGCGGGAUGCCUUACACAUGCAAGUCGAACGGCAGCACGGACUUCGGUCUGGUGGCGAGUGGCGAACGGGUGAGUAAUAUAUCGGAACGUGCCCAGUAGCGGGGGAUAACUACGCGAAAGCGUGGCUAAUACCGCAUACGCCCCACGGGGGAAAGCAGGGGAUCGCAAGACCUUGCACUAUUGGAGCGGCCGAUAUCGGAUUAGCUAGUUGGUGGGGUAAUGGCUCACCAAGGCGACGAUCCGUAGCUG
rnacentral:rRNA from 1 species